UUUUGCAGGUGGUGAGUCGUCACGGUGGCUAUAGUUCUCAGUUACGCAGCUCGCAACGGUUAUCUGCACAUAACUGAUACCAUGUUUACAUACAAACAGCAGAAGCAAAUUUGAGUACGCACAAAGUGGUGAGUCAGCUCGGUGGCAACAGUUUUCAGUGGCGAUUGACCACGGUGCCGGAUUAUCAGAAGAAGAGAAGCAGCAAGUGACAACAAAUCCCAAUUAAGAGGAAAUUAGAAUCUCACAGCAACAUCACCAGCAACAAGUGACAAAAACAAAAGGAAGUGAGCACACUUAUUGAAAUAGGCAAAUGUUUUCCAAUUUCUGAUAACUCACAGCAACAUCACCAGCAACAAGUGACAAAAACAAAAAGGUGCGGAUGGGUAAUACAAAAAGCAAGCCAGUUGAACACAUAUCAGGAGUUGACGUUACUACCGUCCUUUCGAGUGGGAGAAAUGUUGAAAAUAACAAUGCAAACAUCAUUCCCGUAGCUGAAAAUGUUGUUGGAAAUUAUGCUACGGUUCCACAACUCUUGGUCCCGGUUGUAGAGCAUAAUGAAGCUCCAUUAUCGGCCCCGAGUAUACUAAUAGGACAAUCUUGCACAGAUGAAAAUGUUGGAUCAUUAUCGCAACUGGUUGGGGAUCAGCAUGAUGCUUCGUUGUUGUCUUUGAGUAAUCUAAUUCUCUAUUAUGGCUUUUCAGUUGCGACAACUUAUAUUCAAGUGUGUUCACCUUCUGAUAUAUGUUACCCUGUUUUUUAUUGCUAAGCUGUAGGCUGUGAACCUUCAAACGAUGCAUUAGAUGGGGCGACAGUGCACAAACCACAUGCACGCUUAUCCACAAUCGAUAAUGACGUGAUCGAUAGUGGCUCAUCAUUGAACUAAUGUCAUUAUUGGCCUUUUAAUAAUCCCGGGUACAACUCUACAGAAUUCCCAAACCCGGUUGUAGAGCAUCAUGAAGCUACAUUAUCGGCCCCAAGUAUACUAACAACACAAUCUUGCACAGAUGGUAAUGGUACUUACUCAUCUGCAAUUAUGAUGACAAGAAUCAUAGCUCCAUGUAUUUUCUCCUAAAUAACAUUGUGAAUAUUUUCCUACUUGUAUCAACUCUACGGUUGGAUCAUUAUCACAACUGGCUGGGGAUCAGCAUGAUUCUUCGUUGUUUUCUUUGAGUAAUCUAAUUCUCUAUUCUGGCAUUUCAGUUGCACUGACUUAUAUUCAAGUAGGUUCACCUUCAUUUACAUGUUACCCUGGUUUUUUUUGCUAAGAUGUAGGCUAUGAACCUCCAAACGAUGCAUUACAUGGGGCGACAGUGGUAAAAGACUACGCUGAGACAACAAAGGAGCAGUUCAACGCACAAAGGCGUGGUGCUUAUCGAAAAAGGACCAGGAUACUGUGUUGUUGCGAGAGGUUCAUCAGCCCUCCUAGACAAAUUCUGAUCAUAGGGAACUUAACAACGCGUGGAGGCAAGCAUCUUAUCGCAUUAGCAAGACAGAAAAUUUGAAAAAACAACAAAACGAUGUGCACAUCGUUCAACGACGUACCCUAGGUGAUAUCACGAACGCUCGUCAACCUACUACUGCGAUAGCAGAUGAGUUGAUUGAGACCAAAGAGAAUCUGCAUAGAACGGAAGAAGAUCGCAAAAGAGACCAUAGAAACGCGCUGAGGAGAGCAUCUUAUCAGCGGAAAAAGGAUCGGGAUCUGCAAGAAGAGAAUUUCCGGGCCCUUAAUUUAUCUGUUUUCACUGCUACAACUACGGUCACAUCUGGUCUGGUUUAUGACAAUACUUUUAAAGACGAUCACUUCAAUGUUCUUGAAGAAAUCAGUCAAUUGAUCGAGGAAGAGCGGAAGAGAGAUCAUAGAAAUGCACUGAGAAGAGCUUCUUAUCGGAGGAAAAAGGAUCAGCUGGCAGCAAAUGGAAAUAAAAACCCGCUGUCUACAUCAGAUGUAGGCAGUGAACCUCCAAAUGAUGCAUUAGAUGGGGCAACAGUGGUAAAAGACUACGCUGAGACAACAAAGGAGCAGUUCAACACACAAAGGCGUGGUGCUUAUCGGAAAAAAAGGACCAGGAUACUGUGUUGUUGCAAGAGGUUCAUCAGCCCUCCUUGACAAAUUCUGCCACCCCUGAUGGCACAAGCUAUACAGACGUUGCACACGUUGAAGCAGAAUUACCCACUUCAUCAUUAGGAGCGUCUGAUGUUCCCAUGACAAUGACCGAGCUAUGAGGGAGCAGAGAAACUCACGUAGCCGAACAUAUUAUUAGAAGAAAAAGGGUGAACUAACGGUUGAUGACAGAGAAGGAAUGAAUGAAAAGAUCCGAGCCAAGCGUGUGCAACGCCGCAAAAGCAUGUCGGUUAUUGAGAAGGGCCAGUCAAGUGCUCUAAGGAAGGCCAGUUAUGCUAAAAGGAAAAACACCCCAUGCAAAGAAUCCCUUGCACUCCCUCGUCCAAACUCUACCUCUAAAUGUCCCGCAUCCAGCUGUCGUGCAAUACCCCUCGGAUGGGGCACCGAAGAUGAUUCAUCAGAUGGCGACAAUCCACCGGUAGUGCCAAAUUACGGUGCUAGCUCCAAUGAUGACAACAAUGUGUUCCGAGACCCCCUCAUGGGCGAUGAACCGAUACCAUCCGACUUGAUGGAUCAGGAGUAGUACAUGUUUCGUGACCAAGGAUCCGGUAAUGACACAAUUGAGGAUGUUGAUGAAACGAGCAUGUCGUCUGCUAUACCUAGCGAUGUUGACCCAUUAGACUUUGUCUACACAAACAUCCCAGACACCACUCACGUAUUGAAACUGGACGCAAACUGCAAACACUGCAAAGCCAAAAAGUUUGUGUCUGAGACUGACGGGUUCUGCUGUCACAAUGGACAGAUCGAACUUAAACAACCUGAACCAGUCCCAGAGCUGAUGAGACUAUGGUCCAGCAUGGAUGCAGAUUCUAUACAUUUUUGGGAGAACAUACGAUUCUUCAAUGGGCAUUUCGCCUUCACAACCCUUGGCGUCAGCCUCCAUGAGAACUACACAAAUAUGAAGUCCGGGGUGUACACAUUCCGGGCACACGGCACCAUCUACCACAAUGUGCACUCGUUCGGACCUAGCGCCCGUCCAGAACAUCUGCAUUUAUACUUCUAUGAUGACGACCCAACCAUUACUCAUCGUAAGGCGGCCACCAAGCAGUUAGACCUGGAUGUUGUGAGGAAGUUAGUAGACAUACUGAAAGAAAACCCGUACUCACAGCAAUUUAGGAGUUUGGGUGCACACAAGGACAACCUCGAUGAUUAUAGGAUAGACCUAAACACCGAUAAGAGGCUUGACCAAAGAAGAUAUAAUAGACCGUUGUCAUCUGAGGUCGCUGCAAUUUGGGUUGAGGGCAGCGACCUAGCAAAAAGGUUUGACCGGAGGAUAACACUUUGUGGCAACAACGAAAGGCACAAUAUUCGUGUGACCUCCGGGGCAUAUGACCCGUUGUCUUAUCCCCUUUUUUAUCCAAGGGGCGAACUAGGUUGGCAUCCGAAGCUACCUAAACAUGGUGUUCCUUGGGAGGUUGUACUACAUCCCCAACUGGGCCAUGAUGAUGAUGAGGAUGCAUGUAUGUCGUAGGCAACAAGUAUUGUUACAAAUAAUAAUAUUUAACUCGAAGGAUUCCUCAUUUCUAUUGUACUUGAUCACAUGCAGAGGGGAAUAGCAGGUUGUGCUCUCUGUAAGAGACUAUUACUGUUACAUGCUAUAGACACGGCCUGCGAUCUUCAAUCCCAUACUCUGUGGCGCACGCCUGCUGCAGCAAUGGGCGGUAGACAUGUAUGUGAAGAUUGAGAGUUGUCAGUUGAGGUGGUUCAGGAAGAACUAGACACAGAUUCGGGCCGACUUGUAUAAAGGAGUUGUUGAUGUGAUCACAUCCGGUGAGACGCGAGCAAGUGCCGUUGGGACAAGGAUAGUUCUCCCUGGAACAUACCCAGGCGGUGAUCGUGACAUGAAGAAGAGGCAUAUGGAUGCCAUGGCAAUUGUCCACACAUACGGGAAGCCUGAUGUCUUCUUGACCAUGACUUGCAAUCCAAAAUGGGAAGAGAUAACUAAUGAGUUGCUGCCUGGUCAGACUGCGCAGGACCGACCUGAUAUUGUGGCUCGCGUGUUCUAUGGCAAACUAGAGGCUAUGAAGGACAUGUUGUUCAAGAAGCAGAUCCUGGGUGUUGUUGUCGCUUAUGUAUACGUAGUAGAGUUCCAAAAAAGGGGCCUUCCCCACGCACAUUUUUUGUUGAUAAUGGAGUCAGCAUAUAAGCUUAUCGUCCCAGAGCAGUAUGACCGACUCAUAUCAGCAGAGCUCCCAGACAAGCAUAAGUAUCCCGAAUUGUAUGCAAUGGUGGUAAAGCAUAUGAUGCACGGACCAUGCGGUUCUCUCAACCAAAGAAUGUUUGCAUGCAAGAAAACGGAUGCAAGUGCAGAUACCCGAGGUCGUUCAAUGAAAACACAACACAGGGGAAGGACUCGUAUCCAGUUUAUCGACGUAGAGACGACGGUAGACGUGCUAAGGUCCGAGGGAAGAUGUUGGACAACAGAUGGGUUGUGCCUUAUAACCCAUACCUUCUGCGGAUGUUCAAUUGCCACAUCAAUGUUGAGGUCUGCUCUAGCAUAAAGGCCGUCCAAUAUCUUUACAAGUACAUCUACAAGGGCCAUGAUAAGGCUUCUUUCAGCAUUGACCAGCCCGACGCCGAUGGGAACAUUGAUGAGAUCAAGAGACACGUUGACGCAAGAUGGGUCACCCCUCCGGAGGCUAUGUGGAGGAUAUUUGGCUUCCCACUUUGCGCCAAUCACCCACCUGUCUUGCAGUUGCCUCUUCACCUCCCGAAUAUGCACAGGGUUGCAUUCAAUGCGCAGGCUGACUUGAAUAACGUUGUGACCUUCAAAAAAGCUUCAAAAUCCAUGUUAACGGAGUAUUUCAAGGCUAACCAGGAACACCCUUGGGCUAGACAUAUAUUGUAUAAGAAUUUUCCAAGAAGCUUCACGUGGCAGCAACAAAAGAAGUCUUGGAAGCCUCGGGUCGAGAGUUUUCAAAUAGGUCGCAUCGUGUCUGCCAAUCCAGCCGAGGGGGAGCGAUACUACCUGCGUGUAUUGCUGAACCAUGUUACGGGCAAAACCUCAUUCGACGACUUGCUCACCGUGGGCGGCGUGCUAUGUGGGAGCUUUAGAGAGGCUGCUGAACGGUUGGGUCUCAUCGAGGCAGAAAACACGCUUGACGACUGUCUUAAUGAGGCUGAGCAGUGGGCGUUGCCAUGUUCUCUUAGGAGACUCUUCGCAACCAUCUUGGUGCAUUGUGAGCCAGGCAACGUGCGCGGUUUGUGGGAUAGGCACCUCGAGCCUAUGUCAGAUGACUAUCAUCGAACACGCACGUCGACCAAGGAGGUGGAGCAGUUGGUGUUGCUUGACAUUAGGGCUAUGUUGCAGUCCAUGGGUAAAGGCGUUGUUGAUUUCGCUCUUCCAAUCAUCGAUGAUGCGUUUGACCCAACCGAUGGUGAGUGUAGAGAGGUUAUAGAGGAAUCAACCGUUGAGUUUGGCAUGGAUGACACUAAAUUGGCAUCUUCCCUGAACUUGGAGCAGAGGGCUGCAUACAAUGAGAUACUGGUGGUUGUUGAACGCGGUGAUGGGGGUGUAUUAUUUGUUGAUGGCCCUGGAGGUAUAGGGAAGACCUUCUUAUACAGGGCGAUGUUUGCCAAGGUGAGGAGCGAGGGCAAGAUUGGUAUCGCUACCGCGACGUCGGGCGUCGCCGCUUCUAUAAUGCCUGGCGGCAGGACAGCCCACUCGAGGUUCAAGAUACCACUGAGUUGCGAUGAUGGUGCCUCAUGCAGCUUCACCAAGCAAAGUGGGACUGCCAAGCUGCUUAGGAUGGCCUGAUUGAUAAUAUGGGACGAGGCCAGCAUGACGAAGCGACAAGCAGUUGAGGCAUUGGACAAUAGCAUGCGUGACAUAUUGGGAAUACGCGACCGACCCUUUGGAGGAAAGACUGUUGUUUUUGGCGGGGACUUUAGGCAGGUGCUUCCGGUUGUCAGAAGGGGGUCGCGGGGCCGGAUUAUUGAUGCAACACUCCGAAGUUCUCAUCUGUGGAAUGGUAUGCGGCAACUUCGGCUCGUUACCAACAUGAGGGCUCAUAAUGACACUUGGUUUGCAGAUUACUUGCUUAGGGUCAGCAAUGGCACUGAGGAUGUCGACGAUCAAGGCAACAUACUACUCCCUAAAGACAUUUGUCUGCCUUCUACAGGCGAGGUUGAUGACUUGGAGAAGCAUAUUGACCAUGUGUUUCCGAGUCUAGAUGACAACAUGUCUGAUUCGAAUUACAUGACAUGUCGCGCAAUCCUCUCCACCACAAACGACAAUGUCGACAAGAUAAACAUCCGCAUGAUAGAGCGUUUCCAGGGAGAUGAAGUAAUAUACCAUAGCUUUGACAGUGCGGAGGAUGACCCGUAUGGCUACUACACUCAAGAGUUUCUUAAUGGAUUGACUCCCAAUGGUCUUCCUCCGCAUGCACUCAAACUAAAGCUAAACUGCCCUGUCAUACUUCUAAGGAACAUUGACCUAGUUAACGGACUGUGUAAUGGCACUAGGCUUGUUGUUAGAGGAUUUGAGAGGAACACCAUUGAUGCAGAAAUCUGAUUGGACAACACGCUGGCAGGAGGGUCUUCCUUCCUCAAAUACCUCUUUGCCCAUCUGAAAAUGACAUGUUUCCGUUCAAGUUUAAGAGGAAGCAAUUUCCUAUAAGAUUUGGCUUUGCUAUGACCAUUAACAAGGCUCAAGGGCAGACAAUCCCUAUUGUUGGUGUCUACCUCCCCAAUCGAGUGUUCUCUCAUGGUCAACUCUAUGUUGCAUUGUCUCGAGCCACCGCGAAGAGAAACAUAAAGAUACUCAUUCAGAAGGAGAAGCCGAAGGAGAAAUCCAAGAAGCAAAAGGACAAUUCAAAGAAGCGAAAAAGACCGACUGUGUCCUUACUGACCUCGAUGAAGAACAUCGUCUACAAGGAAGUCCUUACAGGCUGA
rnacentral:rRNA from 1 species